UACGGAGGGUGCAAGCGUUAUCCGGAAUCACUGGGUUUAAAGGGUGCUUAGGCUGCUGCAUAAGUCAGGGGUGAAAGUUUGUCGCUUAACGAUAGAAUUGCCUUUGAUACUGUGCGGCUUGAAAUUAGGUGAGGUUGGCGGAAUGUGACAUGUAGCGGUGAAAUGCGUAGAUAUGUCAUAGAACACCGAUUGCGAAGGCAGCUGGCGAACCUAAAUUUGACUCUGAGGCACGAAAGCGUGGGUAGCAAACAGG
rnacentral:rRNA from 1 species